rnacentral:rRNA from 1 species
AUUGAACGCUGGCGGCAUGCUUUACACAUGCAAGUCGAACGGUAACAGGCCGCAAGGUGCUGACGAGUGGCGAACGGGUGAGUAAUGCAUCGGAACGUGCCCAGUCGUGGGGGAUAACUACUCGAAAGAGUAGCUAAUACCGCAUACGAUCUAUGGAUGAAAGCGGGGGACCGUAAGGCCUCGCGCGAUUGGAGCGGCCGAUGUCAGAUUAGGUAGUUGGUGGGGUAAAGGCUCAACAAGCCAACGAUCUGUAGCUGGUCUGAGGGGAAAACCAGCCACACUGGGACUGAGACACGGCCCAGACUCCUACGGGAGGCAGCAGUGGGGAAUUUUGGACAAUGGGCGCAAGCCUGAUCCAGCAAUGCCGCGUGGAGGAAGAAGGCCUUCGGGUUGUAAACUGCUUUUGUACGGAACGAAACGGCUCUGGUUAAUACCCGGGGCUAAUGACGGUACCGUAAGAAUAAGCACCGGCUAACUACGUG